UACAGAGGAGCCAAGCGUUGUCCGGAUUGACUGGGCGUAAAGCGCACGCAGGCGGUUGCGCGCGUGGGGUGUGAAAUCUGGCCGCCUAACGGCCAGGCGCCAUCCCAUACGGCGCGACUGGAGCGAUGCAGAGGUCGGUGGAAUUGCCGGUGUAGUGGUGAAAUGCGUAGAGAUCGGGAGGAACACCAGCGGCGAAGGCGGCCCCCUGGGCCGCUCCUGACGCUGAGGAGCGAAAGCCAGGGGAGCAAACGGG
rnacentral:rRNA from 1 species